rnacentral:lncRNA from 1 species
CAAAGAUCUCCUCCUGCCAGAAGAGCUCAUGGUUGUUGAUUACCUGCCGUACUUUAAGAGACAUUUACCCACGCUGAAAGCCAAACUGUCCAGGCUGCGGACGCUCUCUGUGGCCUGACCCUCUGCUGAGCGUUAUGGGAAAAAACAUCUCUGAGGACGCCAUAUUGAGACACUGCGCGUCUUAUGAACCCCCCCCUGAUGUGCACACCUCUGACAUUCAGACGUGUGCAAACAUUCACGAGGAGUUUGGUAAAGAGUCACUGAUGAAAGAAGAGUCUCUGCUGCUGCUGGUUGUAGUGGACACACUGAAGCUGAGCCAAGAAAACGGCACCGCGUUUUCAAGCAUUUGUGGUCAAAUGGACGUUGCUCCUGAACAGCUGCAUGAGCAGCGUCCAGUCCUGGAUGUGCUUCAUGAGGCUUCCCUUUCAGAUGUAUCGGUGGACAUUUCCCAGUAUGACGUGCCACAGGAGUCCGGCAAGAAGGGCAACAUGAAUGGAGGCCUGACGGAGACGGCAGGACGAGCGAUGCUUCCGACUGAAAUGGAGCUGGACGUGACUUUGACGCCGAGUCCCAAGACGAGUCAAACCCAAAUCUGUCCGUCCACACGUGAACUCCAGCAGGAAGAGCCGUCAGCGCUCAGCAGACUAUCUUUGGUGUCAGCGAGCGCUCAGGAAGAGAUGGAGACGGCACUUUGGAAGGCGGAGAAGCAUCCAGCCUUUGUGGUGGGCUUUCUGUUGGCAGAGCCUCAAAUAUAUGAACCAGCUGUCGACUUCCAGCCGCUGUCUGAAGCCUUGAGAGUCGUGAAGUCUGAGAAUCAAAGCUUCGUCUGCGUUGGUGACAAACUGCAGUCCCAGGUGGAGACGGGAGCCCCGCCGGUGUAUCUGUGCAGCAGCCGUGAGUUCACAGAGAGCAUGAGGUCCGAGGUUCCCUCCAGCACGGAGGUGAAGAUGGAAGACUUCAAAAGACUGUCACCUGAACAUGUGGACAUCUCAGUCAGAUCCGUCCCGAUGAAUCCAACAAACCAAACUCGGUUCCCUCACCCGAAGAAAUGUGAAACUGCUGCUUUUCACACUGAAGCUCCUGCGGACGACUCACACCUUCAAAAAGAGGAGUCGAUGAAGGAAAUGAAAGAAGAUUGA